UGCGUUACACCCGGCCGGUGC
rnacentral:misc_RNA from 1 species